UAACAUGCAGUCGAACGGCAGCACGGGAGCAAUCCUGGUGGCGAGUGGCGAACGGGUGAGUAAUAUAUCGGAACGUGCCCAGUCGUGGGGGAUAACGUAGCGAAAGCUACGCUAAUACCGCAUACGAUCUAUGGAUGAAAGCGGGGGAUCGCAAGACCUCGCGCGAUUGGAGCGGCCGAUAUCAGAUUAGGUAGUUGGUGGGGUAAAAGCUUACCAAGCCUGCGAUCUGUAGCUGGUCUGAGAGGACGACCAGCCACACUGGAACUGAGACACGGUCCAGACUCCUACGGGAGGCAGCAGUGGGGAAUUUUGGACAAUGGGCGCAAGCCUGAUCCAGCAAUGCCGCGUGCAGGAUGAAGGCCUUCGGGUUGUAAACUGCUUUUGUACGGAACGAAACGGCUCUUUCUAAUACAAGGGGCUAAUGACGGUACCGUAAGAAUAAGCACCGGCUAACUACGUGCCAGCAGCCGCGGUAAUACGUAGGGUGCGAGCGUUAAUCGGAAUUACUGGGCGUAAAGCGUGCGCAGGCGGUUUUGUAAGACAGAUGUGAAAUCCCCGGGCUCAACCUGGGACCUGCAUUUGUGACUGCAAGGCUGGAGUGCGGCAGAGGGGGAUGGAAUUCCGCGUGUAGCAGUGAAAUGCGUAGAUAUGCGGAGGAACACCGAUGGCGAAAGCAAUCCCCUGGGCCUGCACUGACGCUCAUGCACGAAAGCGUGGGGAGCA
rnacentral:rRNA from 1 species